rnacentral:rRNA from 1 species
AAAAAAGGUAAGCUACUAAGAGCGAAUGGUGGAUGCCUUGACUGGUAAAGGCGAUGAAGGACGUACUAGACUGCGAUAAGCUACGGGGAGCUGUCAAGAAGCUUUGAUCCGUAGAUUUCCGAAUGGGGCAACCCAAUGUAUAGAGAUAUACAUUACCUAUAUAGGAGCGAACGAGGGGAAUUGAAACAUCUUAGUACCCUCAGGAAAAGAAAUCAAUAGAGAUUGCGUCAGUAGCGGCGAGCGAAAGCGCAAGAGGGCAAACCCAGUGCUUGCACUGGGGGUUGUAGGACUGCAAUGUGCAAGAGGUGAGUUUAGCAGAACAUUCUGGAAAGUAUAGCCAUAGAGGGUGAUAGUCCCGUAUGCGAAAAACAAACCUUAGCUAGCAGUAUCCUGAGUAGGGCGGGACACGAGAAAUCCUGUCUGAAGCUGGGUCGACCACGAUCCAACCCUAAAUACUAAUACCAGAUCGAUAGUGCACAAGUACCGUGAGGGAAAGGUGAAAAGAACUGAGGUGAUCAGAGUGAAAUAGAACCUGAAACCAUUUGCUUACAAUCAUUCAGAGCCCUAUGUAGCAAUACAGGGUGAUGGACUGCCUUUUGCAUAAUGAGCCUGCGAGUUGUGGUGUCUGGCAAGGUUAAGCAAACGCGAAGCCGUAGCGAAAGCGAGUCUGAAUAGGGCGCUUAGUCAGAUGCUGCAGACCCGAAACGAAGUGAUCUAUCCAUGAGCAAGUUGAAGCUAGUGUAAGAACUAGUGGAGGACUGAACCCAUAGGCGUUGAAAAGCCCCGGGAUGACUUGUGGAUAGGGGUGAAAGGCCAAUCAAACUUCGUGAUAGCUGGUUCUCUCCGAAAUAUAUUUAGGUAUAGCGUUGUGUCGUAAUAUAAGGGGGUAGAGCACUGAAUGGGCUAGGGCAUACACCAAUGUACCAAACCCUAUCAAACUCCGAAUACCUUAUAUGUAAUCACAGCAGUCAGGCGGCGAGUGAUAAAAUCCGUCGUCAAGAGGGAAACAACCCAGACUACCAGCUAAGGUCCCUAAAUCUUACUUAAGUGGAAAACGAUGUGAAGUUACUUAAACAACCAGGAGGUUGGCUUAGAAGCAGCCAUCCUUUAAAGAAAGCGUAAUAGCUCACUGGUCUAGUGAUUUUGCGCGGAAAAUAUAACGGGGCUAAAGUAAGUACCGAAGCUGUAGACUUGCGCACAACUUAGAUUAUUUAAGUUUAGAAUAUGAGAAACUAAGUUAUAUGUUUAGUUAUAUUUUUACUGAUUUUUAUAGAGUAAAGAUAGAAAUAAAACUUAGUAAAAUCAGUAAAAAUAUUCUUAGACUAAAGUUAAGUAGUUUAAGUUGUGUGCAAGUGGUAGGAGAGCGUUCUAUUUGCGUCGAAGGUAUACCGGUAAGGAGUGCUGGAGCGAAUAGAAGUGAGCAUGCAGGCAUGAGUAGCGAUAAUUAAUGUGAGAAUCAUUAACGCCGUAAACCCAAGGUUUCCUACGCGAUGCUCGUCAUCGUAGGGUUAGUCGGGUCCUAAGUCGAGUCCGAAAGGGGUAGACGAUGGCAAAUUGGUUAAUAUUCCAAUACCAACAUUAGUGUGCGAUGGAAGGACGCUUAGGGCUAAGGGGGCUAGCGGAUGGAAGUGCUAGUCUAAGGUCGUAGGAGGUUAUACAGGCAAAUCCGUAUAACAAUACUCCGAGAACUGAAAGGCUUUUUGAAGUCUUCGGAUGGAUAGAAGAACCCCUGAUGCCGUCGAGCCAAGAAAAGUUUCUAAGUUUAGCUAAUGUUGCCCGUACCGUAAACCGACACAGGUGGGUGGGAUGAGUAUUCUAAGGCGCGUGGAAGAACUCUCUUUAAGGAACUCUGCAAAAUAGCACCGUAUCUUCGGUAUAAGGUGUGGUUCGCUUCGUAUUAGGAUUUACUCCGAAAGCGAAGAAACUUACAACAAAGAGUCCCUCCCGACUGUUUACCAAAAACACAGCACUCUGCUAACUCGUAAGAGGAUGUAUAGGGUGUGACGCCUGCCCGGUGCUCGAAGGUUAAUUGAUGGGGUUAGCAUUAGCGAAGCUCUUGAUCGAAGCCCGAGUAAACGGCGGCCGUAACUAUAACGGUCCUAAGGUAGCGAAAUUCCUUGUCGGUUAAAUACCGACCUGCAUGAAUGGCGUAACGAGAUGGGAGCUGUCUCAAAGAGGGAUCCAGUGAAAUUGUAGUGGAGGUGAAAAUUCCUCCUACCCGCGGCAAGACGGAAAGACCCCGUGGACCUUUACUACAGCUUGACACUGCUAUUUGGAUAAGAAUGUGCAGGAUAGGUGGGAGGCUUUGAGUAUAUGACGCCAGUUGUAUAUGAGCCAUUGUUGAGAUACCACUCUUUCUUAUUUGGGUAGCUAACCAGCUUGAGUUAUCCUCAAGUGGGACAAUGUCUGGUGGGUAGUUUGACUGGGGCGGUCGCCUCCCAAAUAAUAACGGAGGCUUACAAAGGUUGGCUCAGAACGGUUGGAAAUCGUUCGUAGAGUAUAAAGGUAUAAGCCAGCUUAACUGCAAGACAUACAAGUCAAGCAGAGACGAAAGUCGGU